UGUGCUAGUGGCACAAAAUGUCAUUACAUACUAUAAAGAGAUUGGUGUUAAGAAGGGCAUCCAACUGUAGAAACC